UACAGAGGUCUCAAGCGUUGUUCGGAUUCAUUGGGCGUAAAGGGUGCGUAGGCGGCGCCGUAAGUCGGGUGUGAAAUUUCGGGGCUUAACUCCGAAACUGCAUUCGAUACUGCGGUGCUUGAGGACUGGAGAGGAGACUGGAAUUCAUGGUGUAGCAGUGAAAUGCGUAGAGAUCAUGAGGAAGACCAGUGGCGAAGGCGGGUCUCUGGACAGUUCCUGACGCUGAGGCACGAAGGCCAGGGGAGCAAACGGG
rnacentral:rRNA from 1 species